UUAGAAACCGCGUACACCACCCAUUCACCCACCGCCUCUUUUGAUUCCGAAAAAAUAAUAAUUCAACCCACUCUAGGAGGCCGCGUUCUCCUCAACCGCCAGAUCUUUUAUCAUAGCUUAAUCUUGCCCGUCCAUAUACACAUCUUCUGCUAUAAAUAGUCUUGGCUUCUCUUUUAAUCGUUACCCCAUUGAAGUUUCGAGAAUGGGGUCAUCUCUUUCCUCUUCUCUCCGAUGUAAGAGUUUUGAUCUUUCCAUCUGGUAUUGAUUGCUUAUCAUGACUUCGUUCUUCUAUCGAUAUUCUUGUGCCUGGUUAAUCUUCGUAUGCGUUUUAUAUGGAUCGGUUAGCGAUCUCUGUCGAAAUUGAUUUAUGCAGAGAGGAUCGUUGAUUUACACUUGGGAUUUUGUUUAGAUCGGUUUGGUUCUCGAUCGCUACCCGCCUUUGUUAUUUGAUUCCUUCGUUAUUUAGGGAUUCUUUUGUCACCGUUUGGAUUUUUGGUUUAUUCAGCUUAUGGUGGCCUUGGGCUUUGUUUGGUUUCAUUAUAUGUUGAAAUAUGCAGAUUAUGGCUACUACUAUUGAGUGUGGCUUUCACAUUAUACCUGAAAAUUUCUUCAAUAACAUUGUUCGAGGGUUGGCUUGGAUUGUUGAGGCUGGGAGUAGCUUGAUAGAAUGCCCCGUAUGUCGUGAUGUCUCAGGUUUUUUGGUUGAUUGAUAUUGUCAAUGCAGAAAUAUAUUCAUAAAAUAUAUGAAAUUUCCAGAUUUAUUGCAUCAAAUCCUCUGUCUUCUUUGAAGUCGUGUGAAGAAUUUUGCUCCAGUUUAUAUGUCCUCUGCUUAGAGGUUGGGCAAGAAGGUUUCAAGUAAUGUUAAAGUUUUGCCAAUUCCUUGUCUUACCCAACGUUUGACUUUGUUACUCUAAAAUCGUUUUUAAUGUUAGAUAUUCACAAGUUUGGUUUCAACCAUUGAUGCUUCACAGGAUGGACGGAUGGUUUGAUUUACUUUUUAUAUUAUAUACAUAUAUUUUCAAAUGAACUUUCAGGUUGUUAAUGCAUCUCUACGGGUUUGAUAUAGUAUCGUCAUUCUUUCUUCAUCGUGCUUUGUUUUACAUUUCUUUCUACCAACAUUUUUGAGGUUUUUUGUAUGUUUUCACUUUUUAGGUGAUCGGGAGAAUGGUUCAAGGUUUUUUUUUCCUUGGAUUGUGGAGGGGGUGCAAAAUGAUUCUUUCAAUUCUUAUUCAAUCAUCCUUGUUUUUUUCUAGGCGUUUUUUUUCCUAUGUUGUCUAUCUUAGUACAUGCAUUUUGUUCAAUAAUUUCAGGUUCUCGACUUCGUAAGGCAUCAGUCUUCUUUUCUUGGGUCUAUUUAAACAAGAAUAAACCUUGGAAGGGAGUUGACUUCCUAGUGUUUCCUUUUAAAUGGAUUUUUAUCUUUUCUAGAAUUGAAGCUUCGGACUUUGUGAGAUAUAUGGGUUCAUGUCUCUUCUUUUGGGCGUUCAAUGAAUUUUCAGGGUUCUGCUUUUACUCAAGAAUAUUAUUAUAGGCUGUUGAUAAGCCCUGGAUGCUUUAGUCGUCAUGCUGCAAGCCUCAAAUGUCUUCCUCUGCGGGGUAGAUAUGUUUCAUCACCUUUUUAUCUCGAUGUUGUGAGAAUUAUAUUUUUUGGAAAGAUUGGGUUAUGAUUUGUGAUCCGUAUAUAUUUCACAGAUGAUUCUUUAGAGCAUUGCCGAUUGUUGAUCUGCACUUGGGAAUUUGUAUUAGUAUUUAUAUGCAUUUUGUAGAGGUUCUGAGUCUCUGUGCAACCACUUCUGUGCAUUGUGUUUGUAACUAAUAGUUGUUUAUAACAACUGUGGGUUUUGUGGGUAUUCAUAUGAUUCAUGCAGAUCCCUCCGGUCUUUGAUUUUUAUGUGGGAUCUGGAGUUAUAUACAUAUUUGCGACCAUCACUUGUUGGACCUUCUCAUCAUAAGGUCAGAUAUUUAGUUUUUGACGUCUCGAUAUAAGUUCAGAUAAAUGGUUCUCGAUGAUUAUCUAUGGUAUAUUUUUCCUUGGAUUUUGAUCAAUGCAGAGCAUCGCCCGUGGCUGAUUUACACUUGGCACUUUACAUGCGUGUCUAUAUGCGAUUGGAAUUUCUGAUUUAUACAAACAGCAUCGACAGCUGUUGCUUUACUUUAGUACAUUCAAGACUUUGGUAGUGCAAAGGUUUUGUUCGACUUUGUUAAAAAAAAAGUGUUUUUACAGUCUAGCCGUUGGUAGUCGGCACCAUCUAAUUGCUGAAUUUAACUUGGGUUUCAUUUAUAUGAUUUGCAUAGAUGAUGCCGAUUUUUCGCUAUAUUGGGUCUGGAGAGAGAUCCAUAGUCGACCAUUGGGUAUGGUUUACUUUUUGAGUUGUUGGUUUAGUGUUCCCUUCUCUAUUGAAUUUUCUUGUUUUGGACUUAGAACAACAGUGCAGUUCUUAUGGAGAUAGCUGGAUAGUUGGCAUGAUUUCACAGAGUCGACAUUGGAUUUCCUUCAACCUACCUAUUUUGUGACAAAUAAGAAUUCUAGUUUUAUAUACUUCUCAUUUUUAAAAUUGACUUUCUUUGUCCCUCUAUGAUGGUAUUUUCUCAUUAGGUAAAAGUGUCAAUUUUUUUCCCAGUACUCAAUUGGCUCUCGACUAGAUAGAGCUCUUGUGCACUUAUUAAAGCUGGCCUAUGAUCGUGGUGUUCCCUUCUCAAUCUUAACUUCUAUGUUAACGUUUCCUUUUGAUAUUUUUAUUCAAACUUUUAUGAUUCCAAAGUUGUUUCGAGUUCUCUCAUUUUAGGUCAUCAAAAUUUCUAUCGAAGGCUUGAAGUACCUUUGGUGCUGGAGGAGGUUUGACAAAUCAUUAGUCUAAAUCUAGGCUUUAAUUUUUUCUUGAAGAUUUUCUUCUUUUUCUUCUUUUCUUUUCAAGUAUAUUUAUGCUGUUAGUGUUCGUGUUUUCUUUGUUAUUUCAGGCUCUUUGUUGAAAAUUUACAAUUUUUAGAAGGUUGUCCCUGCAAGAUCAUUAUGCCUAAUGAACUGCGUCUUCAUUAUUUGAUUAGUUGUUAUAGCUCAUGACCAAGUUCAUGUGACUUUUUCCUUUCAGGCUGUUGAGGUUUCUGCAAACUCAAUCUGUCCAAGUCCAAGUAUGCUUUUGCAAAAAUAAAAUUAAAAGUUGGAAAUUCACAUCUUCAACUUGCAUAUAUGCAUUAUUAUUUAUUAAUUAACUUAUAUAAAAUUGUUAUGUUUUUAACUUGCUGUCUUCAUCCUUAACUUAUUUUUCUUCUGUUCAUACAUUUAGGCUUUUUGUUCAUACAUGUUUUCGUUAUUCAGGCUAUUGGAUUUUAGUUGUUCACUGUUGUGGACUUGUGUUCGAAGGAUGUCUUUUGUUGGUUGGAGGGCUGCAACUUUCUUUUCUUUGGUCCAUUUAAGCAGCUUUAACCUUGUAUGGUCGUCUCUUAGAUUAUAUUUACUUGACAUAGCUUCUUUUUUAUUUUUUUGACGAUAUAGCAUUGAUCUGGACUGGUUUUUAUGCAUCAGUCUUCAAGGUGCGUUUUUCAGUCUUUUUCUUAUGUUUGGUGGAGUUUCCUAUUUGAACUACUGACUUAAAUUUGUAAUGUCAAAAUGUCUCCAGCAACCUUAAUUGUUUUAUUUUAUUUUUAAUGAAAUUUCAGGUUUUUUUUUCCAUUGUAGCUUUUCAUCUUUUUGGGUUUGACAUAGCAUCUCCACUCUUACAUUUACCUCUCCUUUUACUCGUUGUGAUUAAAGUAUUUGAAUUGUUCCAUUUCUUUCUGGCAUGAUCUUUUAGGGUUUCAGUAUUUUCUUACCUUUCUAGGCGAUUGCGAGAACGGUUCAAGGCUAUGAGUAUAUUUCUGUUUCAUGUUUGCUGGAUUGUGGAGGGGUGUAAAAUGAUUUCUUUCAUUUUAUAUUUUUCAAAUGAAUUUUCAGGUUCCUUCAGAAUACUGCGGCCUUUCAUCUUUAUGGGUUUGACACAGUAUCAUCAUCCUUUUGUCUCUCAUUUUGCUUAUUGUGCUUUGUUUUGCAUUUUUUUUUGUCUCCAUUUUUGAGUGUUGUUUUGUAUGUUUCUCUUUUUAGGUGGUCGUGAGAAUGGUUCAAGAUUUUUUGUGUCUGAUUGUGGAGGGGGUUGUAAAAUUAUUCUUUCAAUUCUUAUUCAAUCACCCUUGCUUUCUUCUAGGCGUUUUCUUAUUUACCGUCUAUCUUAGCAUAUGGAUUUUGUUCAAUAAUUUCAGGUUCUCGACUUUGUAAGGCCGACUUCUUUUCUCAACUCUAAGCAGACCAGAGUUUAGCCUUGGAAGGGAGUUGAGUUGGAUUAGUUUUUCAUUGUAAAUGGUUUUUUUUUUCUUUUCUAUAACUGCAGCUUGUGGGUACUUUGUGAGAUUUUUGUUUCAUGUCUUUGCUAUUGGGCGUUCAAUGAAUUUUCAGGGUUUUACUCUAGAAUAUUAUCAGUCUGUUGGUAAAUCCUGGAUGCUUUAGUCGUCAUGCUGCAAGUCUCAAAUGUCUUCAUCUUCUCCAUUCCCAUCAUUGCGAACUAGAUAUCAUCACCUUUUUAUCUCUUAAAACUGUGAGAACUAUAAUUUUUGGGAAGGUUAGGUGUGAUCAGUAUUUAUUUCACAGUUGAUUCUCAGGGCAUUGUCGAUUGUUGAUCUGCGCUUGGGAAUUUGUACUAGUAUUCAUAUGCGUUUUAUUGAGUUUCAGAGGUUCUGUGCAACACUUUUGUGCAUUGUGUUGGUAAUUAAUAGUUGAUUAUGUCUAUUGAGGGUUUUGUGGGUAUUCUAUAUGAAUUUUGCAGAUCCCUCUGGUCUUUGAUAUGUGGUAUCCCUCUGGUAUUCUAUAUGUGGGAUCUGUAUUUAUAUAAAUUUACGACCAUGACUUGUCGAACCUUCUUCAUUAUAAGAGCAUUGCCUGUGGUUGAUUUACACUUAGCACUUCUCAUUCGUGUCUAUAUGACAAUCGACAACUGUUUCAUUACACUCGGUACAUUAGAUUAGUAUCUGUAAGACUUUGGUUGUGCAAUGGCUUUGUUCGCUCAUUUUUUUGACUGGUUUUUAUUUCUAAUUGUUGAUUUAACUUGAGGUUUCAUUUAUAUGAUUUGUAUAGAUGAUGCUGAGUUGUUUUCCUUCUGGGGGCUGGGAUUGAGAUCCAUAGUCAACCUUUAGGUAUUGUUUGAUUUUUAGUGUUCAAGUUGUUUUUCCUUUCUUUCUUGAACUUUCUUCUUUUGGACUUGGAACAACAUUGCAGUUCUUAUGGAGAUAGCAGGCAUGAUUUCACAAGUCAACUGUGGAGCUCCUUCAACCUACCUAAUUUGUGAAGAAUAAGAACUCUAGUUUUCUAUACUUCUCAUUAUUUAAAUUGACUUUCUCUCGCUAUAUGAUGUAUUUUCUCAUUAGGUACAUGUGUCAUUUUUCCAGUACUCAUUUGGCUUUCGACUGGAUCGAGCUUUUGUAAACUAAUUAAAGCUAGCCUGUGAUGGUGGUGUUCCCUUAACUACUAUGUUAUCUUAUCCUUUGGUUUCCUUUUGGUCUUUUUGUAUAAACUUUAUGAUUCUGAGGCUUUUUUGAAUUCCCUCAUUUUAGGUUGUCAAAAUUUCUAUUCAAGACUUAAAAGUAUCUCUGUUGCUGGAGGAGGUUUGACUAGUCAUUAAACUAUAGUUUGAGCUUUUAUCUUUUCUUGAAGCUUUUCUUUUUGAUAUCUUUUAGGCUAUUAGUGUGUGUGUUUUGUUCAGUAAUUUCAAGCUCUUGUAAGUUACAAGUUUUAAGAAGACUGUUCAAUCAUUUUAUUAUUUUUAGGGGAGUUUUUGGUCCUAGUAAUUUUCAAAUUAACUGUUCAUCUUUUGCCUUCAGGUUUCUCUUAUGAUUAUGAGGAUGUUGGCCUUCUUAAGUUUAAUUAUGAUUGGGGAGUUCAUAUUUGAACUACGGACUUAGUAAUGUCAUAAUUUCAGUUUGUUUUCCCUAAUCUUUUCGUCUCUCGCAAUCAUCGACCUUGUUUUUCUGAAUACGUUGAUAAUGUUGAUAUACCUUUGUUUCAGGUUAUAGUCAUUGAGCUUCUUAUUAAUGGAUGGAUGGUUUGACAUAAACUCUACAUUAUAUUCUAUUGUGCUGUGAAUGUCUUCAGCGUUUUACCAAGUCAAGUUAUUCAAAAUUGCAGCUUUUCAUCUUAGCUCUUACAUUUACCGCUCCUUUUACUAAUUGUGUUUCAAUUAUUUGAAUUGGACCAUUUAUAUCUGAUAUGAUAUUUUAGGGUAUGUUUUUUCAUUUCUAGGCAAUCAAGCUAAUGGUUCAAGUUGACUAAUAUUUUUUGUUUCGUGUUGCUGGAUUUUAGCGGGGAUGUAAAAUGUUUCUUUCGUUUCAUGUUUAAUUGUCCUUGCUUUGCUGAUAUUUUCUUAGGCGUCAAUCUUCUUUCUUAGAUCUAUUUAUACAAGCAUUAAUCUUGGACUUUUUUUAUAUUUUCCUGUAGCAACCAUCUGUGUGCGAUUUUUUGUUCAUGUCUUUGCUUUGGGGCGUUCAAUGGAUUUUCAGGGUUCCGGUUCUAAUCAAGAUUAUUUUCAUAACCUUUUUGUUGUCAUGCCUGGGUUAACUGAUGUCUUCCUCUUCUCCAUUUCCAGCACUGUGGGUUAAACAUGUUUCUUAUGAUACUGUGGUUUAUUUUCACUAAACUUGAUUCAUGCAGAACAUUGUCAAUCGUUGGUUGGCACACUGAGCUGAGACUUGGAAUUAGUAUCUACAUUCAUUUAGUAGAAGUUCAGAGGUUCUGUUUGGUAUCUUUCAUGUGUUGUGCUGGUAUCUGAUAGUUUAUUUUGACUACGGAUAGUUUGUGGUUAUCUAUAUGAUUAAUGCAGAUGAGGCCAAUUUUUGAAUUAUCUAUGAGAUCUGUAUUUAGAUAUGCCACGUUGGGGUAUUAUGUAUUAUAGCUUUUGAGUUGAUUUCCCGAAUCUUUGAAUUUUCAUCUGAAUAAGCUACUCUUUUGGAUUUGAAGCAAUAUUGUAAAUUCUUUUUGUAAGAAUGUUGGUUUCAUGAAUUAACAUACAGUUGUGAACUCGUACUGUUGGAUUGGUUUGAUGCUCUCAGUAUAAGGUCAGAUAUCUGGUUCUUGAUUGAUAUCUUUCGUUUAUUUUCCCACAACUUUUGAUGUAUGCAGAGCAAGACAUCAACUGUUUGUGAGCUCAUUUGGUUCUCAGUACAAGGUUAGAUGUUUGGUUUUUAUCAUUGUCUACGGUUUUUCUCCUCAGCUCCACCAACAGCUGAUUAACUAUGUUUUUUUGUGUUUGGGACCUUGUACAUUGGUUUAGUGUCUCUAAUCCCUUGGAAGAUUAAUCUUAUUGUGAUGAAGCUCUUUUAAGUUUGUUAAUGUGAUUGUGGACUGGGUUUUUGGUGUCCGAUGAGUUUUGUGAUUUGUUUGAUGGUGUCCUAUCUUUGGUUCAUACCCUUUUUUAGGCUGGAGUGGUCUUAGGCUGCACUUCUCACGGAUCUUCUAUAUUAUAAUGCUCGGGGGAGUUCUAUAUUUAAAGAAAAAUUGGUGAAUUUCUGAAUUGAGAUUCGUUUGGUGGUGAUAUUCUUUUUUUCCAACUUUAUAUCAAGAGGGUGGGUGAUUGACAAUCAUGAUCGUGUUAACUGCAAGAUGAUAUCGUUCUCUGUUGUGUAUUCUCUGUUAUUCAUUCUGUUUCUAAGUGGUUUUCUUGAACAUAUAGGGUAUAGUUGGUUUGAGACAUUGGAGACGCUAUAGUGUCGUGUUAUUCAGUCAAAUCCUUAUCGUGGUACAGGCUUGACGUUUGAAGUUGUCUUGUGAUUAUUAACUGAUCUGUUGGAUUUACUUUCUGUGGAGCACAUUUGAUGUUUGAAGUCGUCUUAUGAUUGUGGUAGUUCACGUCUUAUAAGUAAUAUACCCUUUUUUUCAUAAUAAUUUGUAAUUGUUAUUUUUUGGGACUGUACGUCGAUCUCCAAUUUGAGUUCUUAUUGCUCGUCAUAUUACUAUUAAUAUUAUCUUGAGAAUAUUUAUUCCCGAA